rnacentral:rRNA from 1 species
CCUACGGGGGGCAGCAGUGAGGAAUAUUGGUCAAUGGUCGGGAGACUGAACCAGCCAAGCAGCGUGAAGGAGGACGGUACAGCGGAUCGUAAACCUCUUUUGUCAGGGAACAAAGACUGGGACGCGUCCCCGGAUGAAUGUACCUGAAGAAAAAGCAUAGGCUAACUCCGUGCAAGCAGCCGCGGUAAUACGGAGGGGGAGAGCGUUGUCCGGAAUGAGUGGGGGUAAAGGGAGUGUAGUCGGCUCUUUAAGUUAUAUGUGAAAUCUGGCGGCUGAACCGUGGAAGUGCGUAUAAAACAGGGGAGCUGGAGUGCAGGAGAGGUGAGCGGAAUUCCUAGUGUAGCGGUGGAAUGCGUAGAUAUUAGGAAGAACACCGGUGGCGAAGGCGGCCUACUGGACUGUAACUGACGUUGAGGCUCGAAAGCGUGGGGAGCAAACAGGAUUAGAUACCCUUGUAGUC